GGCCCGGUCUUUUCACCUCCGAAUAAAUAUGCUCUUAUCUGGCAGUUAGCUAUCUGGAGGAUAAAUAUUUAUUCGCCAGAUAAAAUGUACCGGUCUUUUCACGUCAAUUUAUGUUCCAGUUAGUUAUCCGGUAGAUAAGCUUAAAAGUAAGUUUGGAUUCCGAACACACCUGACUUUUAUGUUUAUUUUUAUAAUUUCAGCUUUAACUUAACCUAACAUAAUUAGAUUCAAAGUAUUUCAAAGAUGAUUUUAUCGAUUUUAUUUCCAUUUUGGAAGAAGGAAUGAAGGAAAUAAGGAAAACAUUGAUUAUGCUGAAAUAGUUUACUGGAGAGCUUGAACAAGAGGUAAAUCCAUUUUAAAUUAGAGGAAAACUGUUGAUUUGUAUGUAAAAUAGAAGACAAAGACAAGUUUAAAUAAAGACAAACUAGCUAAUGAAACAGAUGCAGUGAUAUGACAAACACCUAGAAGAUGGAAUCCUGUGUUCUCAAAGAAAAAGCUAGUUCCAGAAAUAAGCUACCAAUAAUAAACUAGAGAAUGUAUUACAAGAAAGAACAACGCUAAUACCCAACAUAGCUCAAUUGCUUCAGAUAGAAAAAGAGGAGGAAAGGGUAGAACACAAGCGUGCCAGAGAAAAUUAAAGGGCAGAAGAGACACAAAAAUUCAUUGAUUUAUUAAAUUUAAUAAUUAAAUUAUACAAAGGACAAUUAAAUAAAGAAUAAAAAAUUA